AACGACUCUUGGUGAUGGAUAUCUCGGCUCUCUCAUUGAUGAAGAAUGUAGCGAAAUACGAUACGUGGUGUGAAUUGCAGAAUCGCGUGAACCAUCAAGUCUUUGGACACUAGUUGCCCCUGAGGCCAUUAGGCCAAGGGCACGCCAGCUUGGG
rnacentral:rRNA from 1 species